rnacentral:tRNA from 1 species
GGGCGAUUGGCGCAGUGGUAGCGCGCUUCCCUGACACGGAAGAGGUCACUGGUUCAAACCCAGUAUCGCCCACCG